rnacentral:lncRNA from 1 species
UUCAGUUAUAUUUGUCCAAUAUGUUAUUUUUCUGGGUUAAUGUGUGAAGCAUUUACAUCUCAUAGUUUAUUUGUUCCAAGUUUAUCAGGUGCGGUUAGAGAAUCAGUCAAUGCUCAAACCUCAAAACACACACAUCGAUCAUUUGAGAACACACUAAACGUGGGAAACAUCUGCCAAAAAUGAUCAUAAAUCUUGCUUGGAAACAGGAUGGCAAUGAAGGAUGUUCUAUUUGCGAUGAAGAUAAAGAGAAAACUGUGUUGUUUGUACACAUAUUGUAUUUUGUGUUGCUUGCAUACGAAGUGACGUUCUAGAUGGGAUGGAGUAGUGACGGUUUCUUCAUUCGGGAUGUAGAAAGUGAGGAAACUAUAGUAAUUUGUAUUUGGAUAUUUUGUAUAAUUUUGUAAUAUUUUAUGGCAUUAUAUUUCAUAAUUUUUCUUAUCUUAUUUGUAGAACAUGUGGUUUUUAUUUG